CAGCAGACACAUUCCUGCCAAUCAGCAGCAGACCCUCCCUCCCAGACCCUCCCACCUCCUGGACAGCAUCCAUUGUGAAGCUACAUUCUUAGUGAGCUGUCCAGGAAGUGGGAGGGUCUGGGAGGGAGGGUCUGCUGCUGAUUGGCUGGACUGUGUCUGCU
rnacentral:miRNA from 1 species